UACGGAGGGUGCAAGCGUUAAUCGGAAUUACUGGGCGUAAAGCGCACGCAGGCGGUUUGUUAAGUUAGAUGUGAAAUCCCCGGGCUUAACCUGGGAACUGCAUUUGAUACUGGCAAUCUAGAGUCUCGUAGGGGGGGGUAGAAUUCCAGGUGUAGCGGUGAAAUGCAUAGAGAUCUGGAGGAAUACCGGUGGCGAAGGCGGCCCCCUGGGCGAAGACUGACGCUCAGGUGCGAAAGCGUGGGGAGCAAACAGG
rnacentral:rRNA from 1 species